rnacentral:rRNA from 1 species
UACGGAGGGGGCUAGCGUUGUUCGGAAUUACUGGGCGUAAAGCGUACGUAGGCGGCUUUGUAAGUUAGAGGUGAAAGCCCGGGGCUCAACCCCGGAAUUGCCUUUAAGACUGCAUCGCUUGAAUCGCGGAGAGGUGAGUGGAAUUCCGAGUGUAGAGGUGAAAUUCGUAGAUAUUUCGGAAGAACACCAGUGGCGAAGGCGGCUCACUGGACGCGUAUUGACGGCUGAGGUACGAAAGCGUGGGGAGCAAACAGG